rnacentral:tRNA from 1 species
GCGGGAGUAACUCAGUUGGUAGAGUGCCAGCCUUCCAAGCUGGGAGUCGCGAGUUCGAAUCUCGUCUCCCGCU